UGAAAAGCUCUCCUACAUCGUUGAUGUCAGCUGUGCCUGAGGCUUUUUAAUGGGUCAACAGACCCCAAAGCUGCGUGACUGUACCAUCACAGAAGAUGGAGAGUUGCAUGCAUCCAGUGCAGGUGUUUGACCAAGCAGGGAAAUUAAAAGACCAAAAGGCAAGGGAGAUCGAGAGGCUGAUACAAGCAGUGAUUGAAAUAUGAACCAUGGACUCUACCAUAGAUAGAAAAGUUGGAACUGAUAGAUGGAGAAAAAGGAAUGCUACCAAGCAAGAGAAAGUCCUAAUGAGUUAAAAGGCACGGCUGGAGUGGGAGAUCUAUAAACUGACAGUAUAAAAGAUCAUGGUCAAAGAGUGGGAUGUUAGAACUGAUGGCUUUUUAUGGAACAAUAUCAUGUGAGGACAAAGUCUACAGUGUGGCCCAGGAGUGGGUGGCUGAGGCAGAAUGGAGAAAUGGUCACUGGAGAUGAGCAGAUCAAAGAAGUGAGAGACUGGAUUGUUGGACAGAAAAUCCACAAAAACCCUGACCUUACCUAUUGUGAUGGCAAGAACCCAGAUGAAGAGAAAGCUGCAAACCAGGAACUUAAAAUACUUAAAGAACCAGUUUCAGUUGAGGCAAGAGGAUGAAGGUUGGAUUCAGCUUGACUUCCCCUUUUGGGGAAUAACAAUGUCAUAGACACAAGGUAGUAUAGAUUUAGUCUGGGCAAACUCUCUGGAUGAAAGGUAGGUACCAACCUAGCAUAAUUCUUGC
rnacentral:lncRNA from 10 species